UGAAUCUCUGGACAGUUGUAUCCAGAACACCCUCUCAUCCCUCUACCCUCCGUUUGAUGCCACAGCCUCCACGGUGCUGUGUCAGGUAUUUGAUGUGGUGGAGACCAGCUACAGAGGAGACGGAUUAAGAUACCUUAUUGACUUCCUGGUCCCUGCCAAACACAUCCUGCAGACCAUCCAGCAACAUGCCUGUUUCCCGUACUGCGGCCUGAUAUUCCGGCACCAGGGCUGGCCUCUGUGUCUCCACGACAAGGUGAUCAUCCAGCUCUCUCCUCUGGAACGCACGUGUCCUCCGCCCCGGGGACUUCUACCUACAGGUGGCAUCGCCCUCUGACUCCCCCAGCUCCUCCUCCACCAACACCCCCAGCCCACCCUGUAUCAUCCUGCGCUGUCUGGCCCCAGUGGGCAGCAUGUAGAGGAGGUAAAGUUACCAGAGCUAGCCUACACCUCCCUGUUCACCAUGGCCUGGCUCCACUCAGUCAACAGGGAACGGAGUGGAGCAGGAACGGAGACAGGGUCUGGGACAGGGCUUGGGACAGGGCUUGGGACAGGGCUUGGGACAGGGACAGGGUCUGGGACAGGGUCGGG